rnacentral:rRNA from 1 species
AGUAAAUAGAUACCCGGGUAGUCCUGGCAGUAAACGGUGCACGUUUGGUGUGGGCGCAAUCGACCGCGUCCGCGCCGGAGCUAAACGCGUUAAACGUGCCGCCUGGGAAGUACGGUCGCAAGAUUAAAACUCAAAGAAAUUGACGGGGACCCGCACAAGCGGUGGAGUAUGUGGCUUAAUUCGAUGCAACGCGAAGAACCUUACCUGGUCUUGACAUGCAUUGUGUCUCCGGUGAAAGCCGGAUAGGGUAGCAAUACCCGCUUUGCACAGGUGCUGCAUGGCUGUCGUCAGCUCGUGUCGUGAGAUGUUGGGUUAAAGUCCCGCAACGAGCGCAACCCCUGUGAUUUGUUGCCACCGGCUUAUGCCGAGCACUCGAAUCAGACUGCCUCGAUCAACGAGGAGGAAGGUGGGGAUGACGUCAAGUCCGUAUGGCCCUUACGACCAGGGCUGCACACGUACUACAAUGCCCAGUACAAUGUGAACCGAGACCGCGAGGUGGAGGAAAUCAAUAAAA